rnacentral:rRNA from 1 species
AUACCGGAUAACCCAUUUCUCUGCAUGGAGAGAUGUUGAAAGACGGUUAUGGCUGUCGCUGUGAGAUGGGCCCGCGGCGCAUUAGCUAGUUGGUGGGGUAACGGCCUAGCAAGGCCACGAUGCGUAUCCGACCUGAGAGGGUGAUCGGCCACACCUGGGACUGAGA